GGAAGCUAUAGUUGGAUAAAGCUGAGAAGACUUUUACUAAUUAAAACACUGAAAUCAUUCAAUAUCUGAAGACAGAAAGGCAAGAAGAUCUGCAAGUCUUUACAUCAAAGAUCUGAUUGCACUGGUUAAGCUGCAGAAAUAUCUUCCGCAGCUGAUCAGAGAUUGAAGUGUUUCAUAUCGUGAGUGUCAGAUGCAAUGUAUAAUGAACUGUAGCCAAAAAUGUCUGCACUCUUAUCAAUAUAACAGUUCUGUGCCACAUUACUGUAUCAGUGGAUUGCAUGCAUGUGUAAGUUCAGUUCUGCCUGCUACUGCUGUACACUGUAUGGUGUUUGUAUGUUCUUAUUGAUGCAAGCUAUUCGACUGCAAGUUUUUACUAGAUAUCGAAGUAAAUAAUUGGAAACAGCAAUUACAUG